rfam:Mesocricetus auratus contig180415, whole genome shotgun sequence.
UUAACAUGCAAUACCACCAUAAAUGUGCCCUAUCUCGUGUGAUCUUGGAAGAUAAGCAGGGUCCGGCAUAGUUAGUACUUGGAUGGUAGACUGCCUGGGAAUACUGGGUGCUUUAUGCU